GUGGAUUCUCAAGCGUGAGGUAAGAGCAUUUGGUGGAUGCCUUGGCACAUACAGGCGAUGAAGGACGUGGCACGCUGCGAUAAGCGUCGGGGAGUUGUGAGCAAACUUUGAUCCGGCGAUUUCCGAAUGGGGAAACCCACCUUCACCAUUUCAUUCUGGUUCCGUUUCGACGGAGGCUGAGUGAGGUGGAUAAGGUAUCCCAGGUUGAAUAAAAUAGACCUGGUGAAGCGAACCCGGGGAACUGAAACAUCUCAGUACCUGGAGGAAAGGACAUCAACCGAGACUCCGCGAGUAGUGGCGAGCGAAAGCGGACCAGGCCAGUGAUUGAAUUAGGACAACUGGAACCAUCUGGAAAGGUGGGCCUCAGCGGGUGACAGCCCCGUACAGGUAAUGCCAAGCUCGAGACUCGAGUAGGGCGGGACACGUGAAAUCCUGUCUGAACAUGGGGGGACCACCCUCCAAGCCUAAAUACUCGUAUGUGACCGAUAGCGAACUAGUACCGUGAGGGAAAGGUGAAAAGCACCCCGAUGAGGGGAGUGAAACAGUACCUGAAACCGAAUGCUUACAAUCAGUGGGAGCCUCUUUAGGGGGUGACCGCGUACCUCUUGCAUAAUGGGUCAGUGACUUAAUGUAUCAAGCAAGCUUAAGCCGUUAGGUGUAGGCGCAGCGAAAGCGAGUCUGAAUAGGGCGAUUGAGUUUGAUGUAUUAGACCCGAAACCCGGCGAUCUAGGCAUGACCAGGUUGAAGGUGCGGUAACACGCACUGGAGGACCGAACCGUUUAAUGUUGAAAAAUUAUCGGAUGAGUUGUGUUUAGGGGUGAAAGGCCAAUCAAGCCGGGAAAUAGCUGGUUCUCCGCGAAAUCUAUUGAGGUAGAGCGUCGAAUGAUUGCCGUUGGGGGUAGAGCACUGGAUGGGUGCGGGGGUCGCGAGAUCUACCAAUCCUAACCAAACUCCGAAUACCAACGAGUCUAGUUCGGCAGACAGACGGCGGGUGCUAAGGUCCGUCGUCAAAAGGGAAACAGCCCUAACCUACAGCUAAGGUCCCCAAGUCAUCACUAAGUGGUAAAGCAUGUGGGAAUCCCAAAACAACCAGGAGGUUGGCUUAGAAGCAGCCAUCCUUUAAAGAAAGCGUAACAGCUCACUGGUCUAAAUAAGGGUUUCUGCGCCGAAAAUGUAACGGGAAUUAAGUCAUGUACCGAAGCUUAGGGUGUGGCCCGCAAGGGC
rnacentral:rRNA from 1 species